UCUUGCUCAAAAUAUUAUCGUCGAGUAACGACGAUUACUACCAAAAAAUAAGAGUUUGAAAUCAGAAUGAAUCCCAAGCAAUAAUGGCAAACUACCCAAUUACACGUACGUUGAUCUAUGUAACCAUGGACGUGAGAACUACGAAUCAAACCUAAUUCUUAAUGUUUUUGUUGGGAUAAUUCUUAGAGAUUAAAUUUAUUAGCACACGAUGAAGCAUGACACAUCACAUCCAAAGGGCCAGGUCAACGUUUUGUUAGUAAAAAUGAAACUAUAUGAAGUCUUUCAUUUUAUUAGUCUGAAUAGUUCAGGUAAAUUUAUAACAAGUAAAAAUAUUUUGGAGAAACAAUUUAAUUAUCCUAAUAGUAUGGGGUACAAAAUCUUAUUUGUCUUUUAGAUUUUAACAAUAAAAAUAAGGGGUUUUUUUUUUAAUUAUUAUUUUACAUUUUUUACCGUCCUUUACUUUUUUUUUUUACAUUUUUACUAACUCAAGUUUUAAAAAAUACGACUUUAAUGUUUCAAAAUUACAAAAAUACGAUUUACACUAAAAAUCAACUCACAAAACAUAACGUUAAAAAAACAACAAGAGAGCAACAUGACAACAUCCUCACAACAACACAGUGCAACCCAUUGCAACUACAAUAAAAAAAAAACAAAAAAACAUCAAAAAAAUUCAUUCUUGUUAUUUAAAUUCCUUUAUAAAACUGCUUUGUCUAAAAUUAUUUAUACAGCUCAGCAAGAUUACAACAGAAAAUAACCAAUCAUUCAAGAACUAAUCUCAACAGAAUAAUAGUUGCAACAGAUUGUUAAUAUACUCAGAAGAUCAAGUAGUAUAAAUAAGAUGAAGAAGCUUAUCAAACACAUCAAGUGAGAGCCUUCUUCAAGAUCUGAGUUUAAGCUCCAAGAAUCCUCAAGUCUGAAAAAGUGUUUUGUUCCCCUCGUGAGGUGUUUUGUAUAGAAAAGAGAGAGAGUCAGUAAGAAAGCUAAGGAAAGAGUGAAAUAAACAGAGAGAGCAGGAUAGAUUGAGGCUUACCAGUCAAAUUCUGUGACUUGGUGUAACUCCCAUUUCUUUCUACAAAUACAUUACAACAAUUAUGAAAAAUAAGAGAAGAUAUUUUUUUUAUUCAUACUUUUGAGUGCAUUACAAUGCUAACCGAAUGUUAGAGCUAUUAAGUAAAGUGGAAGAAUAACUAAUGAAUAUGCAACUAUAACAUUCAUGGGCAUUUCAUUAGUAUAAUACCCAUAGAAUGAUGCUAAAUACAAGCAAACAAUCACUAAAGUUAUGAAAAAUAAAGAGAAAUUCAUGUUUUGAUGAUGAAUUUUAUCUAGAAGGUUAAGAGAUGAAGAAGUUGUGCAAAUAAAUGGUUGAAGGAACAAGUAUUUAUAGGACAAAAACUAGCCGUUUAUGACCGUUGGUGAAUAGUGAUCAUGACCGUUGGGGGUAUAGUUGUUUUCUAUUAUGGGAUUUUAACAAUUCUAAGUUGUUGUAGUAACCAACAGGUGGGAAUAAUUAAUUUAUGGGUGUUAGAGAAACAUUUUCAGAAAAGUUUGUGAGUCAAAAAUGUUAAACUAAGUAAUAUAAGAAGAUUGGGAAAUUUUCUUUUUUUUACUAUUCACCGGGUACUAUUCAUAGUGGGUCCCACAGUGGGGUCCGCAAGGGUCCCACAGCGGGGUCCACCCCAUGGGUCCCACAUGUUGAUGCAGUAGUGAUAUAGUGAUGACUUAAGCAAAUUACUAUGCUUGAUAUUUUGAAUAUUUUAUUAUUUUACUAUGCUUGAUAUUUUUAAUAUUUUAUUAUUUUACUAUGCAGCAUAGUAACCCAAUGUUUUCCUAUAAAUAGAGCCUUUCAGAAUUCAUUUUGAAUUACGAAAAAUCUUUCUUUCUCUCACUCUGCCUAAAAUCUUCUUAACACUCUUUUAAAGUUUUAAAUCUCUAAAAUCUAGGCGAAGUUCUGUUUGUAACGCUAGCCUACGAAGACCUUUUUGGGAAGCUAACAAUUUCGGUUGUUUUAUCAAGACGCAAGGUAAGAGGCCCCAAAUAUAAAUCGUUGAUGAGUAUACGUGGAGCCAACAUGACUGUACAUAUGGGGCUGACCUGAAGGGAGUGGAGUUCUGCUAUGCUAUUUUAUAAAUAAACAAGAAACUUGGUUUUAUUAUAUUUCAUUAAAAGUAUUUUGUGAACUUUAUCAUUUACUUAAAGCUUUAAAAGUAUUUUAUGAACUUUGUAAUUUACAUAAAGCUUUUCAAUUUAUCAGUUGGAUACAUUUUCAUUUCUACGUUAAGGUGUAGUAACGUCACGAAAAUGAUUUAUAAAAGUAUUAAGAUUUGUAUGUAAGAUAAAGUUUUUAUUUAGUUGUGAGUAUUGUGUGGUUUGAGGUUAUAAACAUUAUUUAUGUAUUGUUUAAUAAAGUUUUUGUAAAUUCAGAAUUUCAGUAUUGUCGUAUUUAGGUUAAAAUUUGUUUUUACACUAUACAUGUAUGUUAAGAAAGGAGGUCGUUACAGAGUGGUAUCAGAGCGGUUCGGUUUUGAAGACAAUCCCAUAUGUACAAGCAUGAUGGUAAGCGUGGUACUCAUCAAGUAAGUCCU